rnacentral:misc_RNA from 1 species
CGCAUCUUGCGCUUGCUGGUAUUCCGGCAAGCAUGCCUGUUUGAGUGUCAUGAAAAUUAUCAACCAUGACUUGGGUUUAGGCCCUUGUUCUUGGCUUGGAUUUGGGUGCUUGCGGUCUUGUGCUGCUCACCUUAAAAGGAUUAGCUGGACAUGUCUAUUGACUUGGUUCUACUUGGCGUAAUAAGUAUUUCGCUGAGGACAUCCCUUCUGGGGUGGCCAAGACUCUGGCAAACGUCUGCUUUCUAACCUGACUGUCUUCGGACAUCACUUUUAUGAUCUGGCCUCAAAUCAGGUAGGACUACCCGCUGAACUUAA